rnacentral:rRNA from 1 species
CUUAUGUACCAUAUCUCCGUGCAGUUCCUGACUGGUUUCCCACUGAAGCUAAGCAGGGUUGAGCUUGGGCAGUACCUGGAUGGGAGACCUCCUGGGGGAAACAAAAGUUGCUGAUGGAA